CAUUGAAACACCAGUUCCAUACAAUCACUGAAGUUAAGCAACAUCAAGCCUGGUCAGUACCUAGAUUGGUGACCGCUUGGGAAUACUAGGUUCUGUA